rnacentral:rRNA from 1 species
GACGAAGGGGGCUAGCGUUGUUCGGAAUUACUGGGCGUAAAGCGCGUGUAGGCGGUUGUUCAAGUCAGGUGUGAAAGCCUUGAGCUCAACUCAAGAAAUGCACUUGAUACUGGAUGACUAGAGGACUGGAGAGGAUAGUGGAAUUCCCAGUGUAGUGGUGAAAUACGUAGAGAUUGGGAAGAACACCAGUGGCGAAGGCGGCUAUCUGGACGGUUUCUGACGCUAAGACGCGAAAGCGUGGGGAGCAAACAGG